rnacentral:misc_RNA from 1 species
UACAGAGGGUGCAAGCGUUCAUCGGAAUUACUGGGCGUAAAGCGCAUGUAGGUGGAUACUUAAGUCGAAUGUGAAAGCCCCGGGCUUAACCUGGGAAUUGCACCCGAUACUGGGUAUCUAGAGUAUGGUAGAGGGAAGUGGAGUUUCCGGUGUAGCGGUGAAAUGCGUAGAUAUCGGAAAGAACACCAGUGGCGAAGGCGGCUUCCUGGACCAAUACUGACACUGAGAUGCGAAAGCGUGGGGAGCAAACAGG